UUAAUUGGCCAGUUUACUCCCAUGUAAGUUGAAUGGAACUCGGUUGGGGACUGGUUAUACAAAAAAUCAGCUUGUAUAACCAAGUUCAGCUUUAAUCAUACAAUUUUUAUAUACUUCUUUUUUCCAAAUUUCAAAGCAUGCUCAAAAGUUUCCAACAAUUUCUCAAGAUGAUGGAUACUAGAAUUCCCCUCCAGGUUCUACUGCCAUAGGUGCCAAUAAGCAAAUCUCUGAGAACUUCAGCACUGCUGCAGCCAUUGCCAGUAAAUCGUACAGUUCUACAAGAAUCUUCAUGACAUGUUGAAGAGUGCCAGCAGUAAAGGCCUAUGUAUACUGAAUGACAGAAGCUGCACUGUACCAUUACUAGUAACUCGUACAGUUCCACAACCCCACGUGUUUUCUGUGAACCUUGGCCACUAUCUGUACUCAUCUUCAGCAAGAAAGCAAGCUUGGGAUUGGAGGUGAUAAAUAUGGGUCCUCUUCAUAUCGACAGACAAAGGGAAGGCCUGGGAAGUUGAGGAUUGAGAAGUAGUCCCUCUCUAGGAACAAGGAUCCUCUUUAGGAGAAGGUGAUUUCUUGUUGUCAUAAAGCAGUGAAAGGGAAUCAAUAUGAUAUUAGGACAUGGUUGAUGGAGAGGAGCUGAGGAGAGAAGCAACAUGAAAUCUACCAUUUGAAGGGUUCCCUCAGGAAUCCUAAGAAGGGGUGGAAAGAAAUAAAAGAUGAGGGCAAAGGACUAAGGUAGCCCAGGAGUAUGCAGUUGGUUUCUUGCUAAAAUCAGCUUGUGUUGGUGAUUUUACCAGGAGAGGAAAUAGCUAAUUUUGUUCUUUAGUCCUGCUUAUUGUCAUUUUGGAAUCCUAUCUACUUUCACAAAGUGGAUUUUUACUGUAUAUAGUCUCUUAUAGUGUUCAUAUUUGGGCCCUCUCCUCUAUAAGUAUAUUGGUUGAAUUUUGAAUUUUGCCUUAGUAUCUGCUGGAAUUUGAAUUUUGAAGUUAAAUAUUGCAGCUGGAGUCUUGCACAAAAUCUGUAACAUCCAAAUAUUUUCUUGUUUUUAUUUGGUCAAGAUUUGGUUUCUAUUUUAUAGGAAGUAGUUGCUCAUCAUCUAGUAGCUUGAUUUUCUGCUUUUCUAAUGUCAUUUCAGUUAGUAGCCCAAAAUAUAUAUUCUGCAUAAGUGUUUAAUCUAAGAUCAACAAUAUUGACACUCUGUUCUGUCAAUCCUUCUGUGAAACAUGAGUGAGAUCCUGAACUCUAGAAACAGGAAGUAACACUGCCGAAGAAAUCAGAUAUGGAGGAGGCUAGAGUGGUAACAACAACAGAAAGAUUUUACUGCAGGCAAAGUUUCUUUAGCUCAACUUUGGGUGGUUUGUCACCUAUAUUCUCAGCUGAAUAUCUUAACUGUCUAAUGCACAUCUGACGGUCAUAAGCUUGACAACAGACUGUUCAAUUCCUAUGACUCAUUGAAGAAGUAAAUUCCCCUGCCUAAUAGACUUGGUUGAUGACCAGUAGGUCUUCUGGGUGAUAGCAACCGGGGUUCUCCUCUACCAAGUGUAAGAUGGAAUAGAAGUGACAUGACCUGAUUGGAUGGGAUAAAACUGCAUAGCAAUCCACUUGAUUGUGGACCAUCAAUGGCAUGUUUAGUUCUCAAUUAUUUAGUUUUUGACAAGCACCAUUGUUCUAUGUGUGCCAUUUCUGUGAGCUCGACUGGUCUAAAAUUACAAAGGACCGCACUUGUGCAUAUGCAUACAAGAAGACGCGCACUAAUGUUCCAGAACACAAUUCAAACAGAAGUAUGAUACUUACACUCUGUGUCUAUAUACUUGGACUUCCCAUUUAGAUUACAAGUCUAUAAUCAUAGAAAGGCAGACCUUGAGAAAAGCUUCAGUGAAGAAUAAAGAUCAACGUGGAGAAUUUGCAGUGCAUCCCACAUUUUAGGAGAUGCCCACUUAAUGUUAAUGGACUGCCCUGCCUCCUUUAUCUUUGUA